UACGUAGGUGGCAAGCGUUGUCCGGAUUUAUUGGGUUUAAAGGGUGCGUAGGCGGCCCUGUAAGUCAGUGCUGAAAUAUCCCGGCUUAACCGGGAGGGUGGCAUUGAUACUGCGGGGCUAGAGUACAGAUGAGGUAGGCGGAAUUGACGGUGUAGCGGUGAAAUGCUUAGAUAUCGUCAAGAACACCUAUAGCGAAGGCAGCUUACUGGACCGUUGUUGACGCUGAGGUGCGAAAGCGUGGGGAGCGAACAGG
rnacentral:rRNA from 1 species